rnacentral:rRNA from 1 species
UACGGAGGGGGCUAGCGUUGUUCGGAAUUACUGGGCGUAAAGGGCGCGUAGGUGGCUUUGCAAGUUAGAGGUGAAAGCCCGGGGCUCAACUCCGGAAUUGCCUUUAAAACUGCAUCGCUAGAAUUGUGGAGAGGUAAGUGGAAUUCCGGGUGUAGAGGUGAAAUUCGUAGAUAUUCGGAAGAACACCAGUGGCGAAGGCGACUUACUGGACACAUAUUGACGCUGAGGUGCGAAAGCGUGGGGAGCAAACAGG